rnacentral:rRNA from 1 species
UUGAACGCUGGCGGCAUGCUUUACACAUGCAAGUCGAACGGCAGCGCGGGCUUCGGCCUGGCGGCGAGUGGCGAACGGGUGAGUAAUGCAUCGGAACGUUCCCAGUCGUGGGUGAUAGCCCGGCGAAAGCCGGAUUAAUACCGCAUACGCCCCGUGGGUGCAAGCGGGGGACCGAAAGGCCCUUCGCUAUUGGAGCGGCCGAUGUCGGAUUAGCUAGUUGGUGGGGUAAAGGCUUACCAAGGCGACGAUCCGUAGCUGGUCUGAGAGGACGACCAGCCACACUGGGACUGAGACACGGCCCAGACUCCUACGGGAGGCAGCAGUGGGGAAUUUUGGACAAUGGGGGCAAGCCUGAUCCAGCCAUGCCGCGUGCGGGAAGAAGGCCUUCGGGUUGUAAACCGCUUUUGUUCGGGAAGAAAUCCUCUGGGCUAAUACCCCGGGGGGAUGACGGUACCGGAAGAAUAAGCACCGGCUAACUACGUG